AGUGAACGCUGGCGGUAGGCCUAACACAUGCAAGUCGAACGGCAGCACAGUAAGAGCUUGCUCUUACGGGUGGCGAGUGGCGGACGGGUGAGGAAUACAUCGGAAUCUACUUUUUCGUGGGGGAUAACGUAGGGAAACUUACGCUAAUACCGCAUACGACCUACGGGGGAAAGCAGGGGAUCUUCGGACCUUGCGCGAUUGAAUGAGCCGAUGUCGGAUUAGCUAGUUGGCGGGGUAAAGGCCCACCAAGGCGACGAUCCGUAGCUGGUCUGAGAGGAUGAUCAGCCACACUGGAACUGAGACACGGUCCAGACUCCUACGGGAGGCAGCAGUGGGGAAUAUUGGACAAUGGGCGCAAGCCUGAUCCAGCCAUACCGCGUGUGUGAAGAAGGCCUUCGGGUUGUAAAGCCCUUUUGUUGGGAAAGAAAAGCAGCAGGUUAAUACCCCGCUGUUCUGACGGUACCCAAAGAAUAAGCACCGGCUAACUUCGUG
rnacentral:rRNA from 1 species